UACGGAGGGGGCGAGCGUUGUUCGGAAUUACUGGGCGUAAAGGGCACGUAGGCGGAUUUUUAAGUCAGGUGUGAAAUCCCGGGGCUCAACCUCGGAAGUGCCUCUGAUACUGCAGGUCUUGAGUACGGGAGAGGUGAGUGGAAUUCCUGGUGUAGCGGUGAAAUUCGUAGAUAUUAGGAAGAACACCAGUGGCGAAGGCGGCUCCCUGGACCAAUACUGACGCUGAGGUGCGAAAGCGUGGGGAGCAAACAGG
rnacentral:rRNA from 1 species